AUCUCUAAUGAUGAUUCAAACAUAAUAACUUUCGUUCUUCUGAUAAUAACCGUGCUGAAAGCAUUUUGGAGACCUGAACUGAAGAGAU